GAUGAACGCUGGCGGCGUGCCUAAUACAUGCAAGUCGAGCGAACAGAUGAGGAGCUUGCUCCUCUGACGUUAGCGGCGGACGGGUGAGUAACACGUGGAUAACCUACCUAUAAGACUGGGAUAACUUCGGGAAGCCGGAGCUAAUACCGGAUAAUAUAUUGAACCGCAUGGUUCAAUAGUGAAAGACGGUUUUGCUGUCACUUAUAGAUGGAUCCGCGCCGCAUUAGCUAGUUGGUAAGGUAACGGCUUACCAAGGCAACGAUGCGUAGCCGACCUGAGAGGGUGAUCGGCCACACUGGAACUGAGACACGGUCCAGACUCCUACGGGAGGCAGCAGUAGGGAAUCUUCCGCAAUGGGCGAAAGCCUGACGGAGCGACGCCGCGUGAGUGAUGAAGGUCUUCGGAUCGUAAAACUCUGUUAUUAGGGAAGAACAAAUGUGUAAGUAACUAUGCACGUCUUGACGGUACCUAAUCAGAAAGCCACGGCUAACUACGUG
rnacentral:rRNA from 1 species